GACAAACGCUGGCGGCGUGCUUAACACAUGCAAGUCGAACGAUGAAAGAAGAAGGAACUCUUCGGAGGGAAUUCUUUUGGAAUAGUGGCGGACGGGUGAGUAAUACAUGAGCAAUCUGCCUUUCACAGAGGGAUAGCCUCGGGAAACCGGGAUUAAUACCACAUAAAGCUUGACACUCGCAUGAGUAUCAGGUCAAAGAUUUAUCGGUGAAAGAUGAGCUCAUGACUGAUUAGCUAGUUGGUGAGGUAACGGCUCACCAAGGCUGCGAUCGGUAGCCGGACUGAGAGGUUGAACGGCCACAUUGGAACUGAGACACGGUCCAAACUCCUACGGGAGGCAGCAGUGGGGAAUAUUGCACAAUGGAGGGAACUCUGAUGCAGCGACGCCGCGUGAGCGAAGAAGGUUUUCGGAUCGUAAAGCUCUGUCCUAUGGGAAGAUAGUGACGGUACCAUAG
rnacentral:rRNA from 1 species